AAUGACAGUUGGGAUGUUGGAACUGGAAAGUUCUGGGGCAGUUGGGGAGAGAUGGAACAUUAAUCCCAAGAUUCUAUAGCAACUGAAGGUGGAUUUGGAUAGCUGGAGAAGUCUGAAGAAAGCACAGUGACAGCAGCAGGAUCCUUUUGAGGAAGAGAGAAAUAGGAAGCAGGACAAUGUAUAUGAAAAGAACUCUGUAAGGGACAUGGGAAAAGAAUUGCAGGGAUGGAAUAAAAGGAUAAACCAAUCUGAGCAAGUGAAAAGUGGCGGAAAGAGACUGAAAAGAUAAAUGUGCCUUAGUUUCUUCCUUGGAAGGGUUUGAAUUGCUGUCUCAGGCCUUAAAAUAAGAGCUUUGUUUUUCCCCAUUGGCAAAAUUCUUCGCUCCACAGGCCAAGUUCUGCCUUUGUGUAAAAUUCCUGCAGCUGUCCUGGGGGAGAGCUUAUGAUUUUGAUUUCAGAAGAGCGGCACUGCCAUUCCUCAUGGAGCCAUGGGAGGGUGCUGCUGGAUUGGCCAGCAUCUCUUGCUUGACUCAUAUGGUUUUAUAACAAGAGGCUGGAGACAGCAGAGCUGUCAUCAUACCAUUCCGGACAGGAUGGGUCCCUGGGCUGCCUCUGUUCCUGCCCUAUUAUGUAAGGGUCACACGAUCCAUUUCCAAUCAGGAAGCAAAAAUGUGUCCCAUCCCUUCCCUGUCCAAGCCCUUUAUAUAAUAGCCACUGGCUCCCAGUACACUGCAAAAUUCCUGCCUUAGACGAGAGAGAGAGGUUACUUUCCAUUCAUGUACAGUGGAAAAUGUCAGUGAAACGUAACCCCAGCUAGAAUACCCCAAAGAUGUUCACAGUAUUUUCAAGUGACACUUGUGUAGGUACUAAGACAGAUCCUCCGCCCUCAUCCCAUAUUACAGCCUAAACUCAGCUGCUGCAAAUGAAAUAUUGCACUUCAGGAGAGGAAGGUUGGAAGGAAAAGCAAAGAACUGGGAACUUCUUAGUGCCAGUUAGACUAUUGAUUCAGAUGGAGGCAGGAUCAAGCCCAUUAUUGCAGCCGGGAUUAUGCAACCAAACAUUUUCACGAUUGCUAACUAAAACAGAGUGGCCAGAAGACCUGCAGAAUGGGCUUCUUAGAUUCUUGCUGAGGUGAAUUAGCUGGCUCUCAGUUGUGGGAUUCAUCCCCCACUCUGUUAUAAAUGAUGCGUACAUGGUUUGCAGCGUUGGUCUUCAAAAGAACCUUUCUGAAGUAAUCAACCAAAAGCAUCUUUUAGUGACAAAUUGGUUGUGUCUUGUAGCCCAUGAAAGCUUAUGCUCAAAUAAAUUUGUUAGUCUCUAAGGUUCCACAAGUCCUCCUGUUCUUACUGCAUAUCUAGCCUGAAUCUUUAAUAAAACAAAGUGCUACCUUGGUCUUUAUUCUUUAUAUGCUAUUAAUAGCACAUGUCCUUUCAGAAGCGCUGAGUAAGAACAGUUGCUAUCAAGGUGAGAGACCAGGAAGAGCCUUGCUCAAAAAUAACAACCCCAAGAGAACCCCAAGAGAUCCUGGUGUUGGACCAGGAGCUAAUAGCAGUGGGCAGAUGAACCAUUUGAGAAACCCUGGGGAAGAAUGAAAAAUUCAGAUAUUGUUGAAAUAAUUUCUGCUCUGUUCUAACUACUUUGAAAAUGUCUCGCACUUCCUGUUCGUCCCUCGUUCAUUCAUCAUCUUGGGAAGCGGGGCCUCCUGUCACCCAUGAAGGGGAGUGCUGGGAGGCACCAGUGUUCGUGGCUGAGGGCGUUAUCCAACAGCUCCCAGUCAGACUGUAGGUGAGAUGUAUUUUCACUCUACACGCAUGAAGACAUCCAUCCAUCACGAGUAACAGAAACUGUCUCUUUGUGCAGAACAUAGUAAAGACCUGCACAUUGUGUGAAUGUGCACAGCUUGUAAACCAUUGUCUAUGUCAUGUGCAUGUAUGUAACCACUGAUAUGGGGAUACCAAUACCAUGCUAAAAUACCUUUUUUACAAUAUGUUUGAAAUAGUCAGUUUCCACCUUGUUUGCAGUUAUGGCUUUGGCUACGUUGAGUAGGGACCAUGUAUUCAUAUUCUAGUAAUCUGCGAGCCAUUGUAAUUUUCACAGAAACUAAGCAGAGCUGCAAUUUCACCUUUCCCCAUCGUACAAACAACAUGAAUAUGGCCAAGGAAGUGAGAUGAGACUGCUAAGAAUUGUGGCAAAAUAAUUAGUAAUUAGUUGUUCGCCAAAUCAUUGAGAAGAAACUCUAUAUUCAGUGCAGUCGUACUCAAGGAUCAUGACCUAUAAACAUCCUAGCAGCACAGGACUGUAGGAUGAAGACAAAAAUAGUAAUGCAAACAAUUUCAUUUUAACAUUCAUCUCAGUGAACAAAAUUAAUUUUACAAUUAAUUACAAUUAAUUAAUUAAAACUUUUGU